CACUCGCCCAGGCACUGCCCAAUCUCCUUCACAGUGUGGAGCCAUAUCCUCGAGGAUGACGAAGGAUGAGGCCAUGGCUUCCCUGCAAGACCCACGUUCCCAGCUAACCUUUCUCCUGCCAUAGAGACAUGCUGCAAAGCCUUGAAUGAAGACUAACGCUGCCCUUGACCUUUAGAGCAUAAAGUUUGCCAAGGCACAAAAAUCAGCCAUGAGUGAAAUGCUGGCCUUAAGACUCCCAUUGGGACACAAAACUAGUCAGAAGUUGAUGCAGGACUUCACGCAGCAUUGCCUGUGGUUUGAACGUUGAAUCGGUAUAUGAUCAAGAAAAUGCAAGAGUCUGGGAAUAUCUGGAUGGAAGAAAGAAUGAAGAAAGGAAUUUCAGACGUUGCCUCUUGUCCAAGAAUUUCUACAUGGACCAGAACUCUGCUCAUUGUGAGGAUUACUGAAAGGAAGAAACCUCCUGCUGCAGCAGUCAGGGGAACACAACGGGAAGAAAGGCCAUGUUGGCCAGUGCUGGAUCUUCUACAUAUAAAACAGCUUUCCCUGUCUGACCCCUUCCUGAAAAUUAACCAUUCAGGGAGGAGCAAAAUCACAACCCAUCAUAAGGUGGAUCUGACAACCAGUAAGGGAACUGAACGUGUAUUCUAGGGAAGCAGGACAUGUGAAACAAUCAGGAAACUGAUGUUGGAGUGCCCAUUUUGCAUAGAAGUAUGCAAAGUGCUCAACCAAUUCUAUCCAGCAAACUCAACAUCUAGAGAUCAUA